AUUGAACGCUGGCGGCAGGCUUACCACAUGCAAGUCGAGCGAGCGGCGGACGGGUGAGUAAUGUCUGGGACAAUGCCUGAUGGAGGGGGAUAACUACUGGAAACGGUAGCUAAUACAGCAUACCAUCAGCUGUGCCCAGGUGGGAUUAGCUUGUUGGUGAGGUAACGGCUCACCAAGGCGACGAUCCCGAGCGGGUCUGAGAGGCUGACCAGCCACACUGGAAAGGAGACACGGUCCAGACUCCUACGGUAGGCAGCAGUGGGUAAUAUUGCACAAUGUGCGAAAGCCGUAGGCAGCCAUGCCGCGUGUAUGAAGAAGGCCGUAGGGUUGUAAAGUACUUUCAGCGGGUAGGGGUUACCCGCAGAAGAAGCACCGGCUAACUCCGUGCCAGCAGCCGCGGUAAUUC
rnacentral:rRNA from 1 species